GACGAACGCUGGCGGCGUGCUUAAUACAUGCAAGUCGAACGGAAAGGCCCUGCUCUUGCUGGGUGCUCGAGUGGCGAACGGGGGAGUAACACGCGAGUAACCUGCCCCUGACUUUGGGAUAACAUCAGGAAACUGGGGCUAAUACCCGAUAGGAGCUCCUGCUGCACGGUGGGGGUUGGAAAGUUUCGGCGGUUGGGGCUGGACUCGCGGCUUAUCAGCUUGUUUGUGGGGUAGUGGAUUACCAAGGCUUUGACGGGUAGCCGGCAUGGGAGGGUGACCGGCGUCAUUGGGACUACGAUACGGCCCAGACUCCUACGGGCGGCAGCAGUCGGGAAUAUUGCGCAGUGGGCCGACGCCUGAUGCAGCAGCGCCGCGUGCGGGAUGCCCGCCUUCGGGUUGUAAACAGCUUUCGCCUGUACCGUAGCGUGCGUGACGGUACUGAGUAAGGAAGCCCCGGCUAACUACGUG
rnacentral:rRNA from 1 species